rnacentral:rRNA from 1 species
UACGGAGGGGGCUAGCGUUGUUCGGAAUUAUUGGGCGUAAAGGGUGCGUAGGCGGUUUGGUAAGUCUUAUGUGAAAUCUACAGGCUCAACUUGUAGUCUGCAUGAGAAACUGCCGGGCUUGAGUGUGGGAGAGGUGAGUGGAAUUCCUGGUGUAGCGGUGAAAUGCGUAGAUAUCAGGAGGAACACCUGUGGCGAAAGCGGCUCACUGGACCAUAACUGACGCUGAUGCACGAAAGCUAGGGGAGCAAACAGG